AUCUAAAUAGCUUAUAUAGAGCAUAGCAUUGAAGAUGCUAAGGAAUUUAAAUAAAAUUAUAGAUA
rnacentral:tRNA from 1 species